CGUAGGGGCGAGCGUUGUCCGGAAUUAUUGGGCGUAAAGCGCGCGCAGGCGGUCCUUUAAGUUCUGAUGUGAAAGACCCACCGGCUUAACCGUGGAGGGUCAUUGGAAAACUGGAGGACUUGAGUACAGAAGAGGAGAGUGGAAUUCCACGUGUAGCGGUGAAAUGCGUAGAGAUGUGGAGGAACACCAGUGGCGAAGGCGACUCUCUGGUCUGUAACUGACGCUGAGGCGCGAAAGCGUGGGGGAGCGAACAGGAUU
rnacentral:rRNA from 1 species